GAUCCUGGCUCAGGAUGAACGCUAGCUACAGGCUUAACACAUGCAAGUCGAGGGGAAACGACAUCGAAAGCUUGCUUCCGAUGGGCGUCGACCGGCGCACGGGUGAGUAACGCGUAUCCAACCUGCCCACCACUUGGGGAUAACCUUGCGAAAGUAAGACUAAUACCCAAUGAUAUCUCUAGAAGACACCUGAAAGAGAUUAAAGAUUUAUCGGUGAUGGAUGGGGAUGCGUCUGAUUAG
rnacentral:rRNA from 1 species